GGUUGCGAUCAUACCAGCACUAAUGCACCGGAUCCCAUCAGAACUCCGCAGCUAAGCGUGCUUGGGCGAGAGUAGUACUAGGAUGGGUGACCCCCUAGGAAGUCCUCGUGUUGCAACCCC
rnacentral:rRNA from 1 species